ACCCCAUCUCAGGUAUAUCUUUAUAGUAGUAUGAAAAUGGAGUUAUACAGCAUCCUAAUUCUGCCACAAGUCAUUGGAAGACAUUCAGAAGGUGAAAGAAGAUCAUUACUCAGUAGGACCUCUUCAAAGGCCAGGGUAAUACAAGGCAGAUGUUCUUCCAACUCAGACCAGAACCUUCUAGUACCUCAAACCACCUGGGCCUGGUGAUAUGAAAG